CGGUCCUCCUGUUUACUUCCUUGCUGAUUCCUGUUCCAUGUCAUUGCUUUAACCUUCGGAAGACUUGUUCACUGAAAGCCGGUCACUGUUUAUGGUCGUAAUGAGAAGAUCGUGUACGGAGGAAGCAUGGGAAACCUAUGUGAAAAUAUCCAGGCCAGCUGAGAGACAUAGUCCUUACUUCUGUAAGACUCACUGUUACACCCUGCCUGCCUGCCUUCUGUUUAGCCGGAGUUUGGAUUUAAAUAAAUCAUCGUUCUGCUCGCCAUGCCAUCUCCUCGCCUGCCUCUGCACUUUGGUCCACAAAAACCCUCGACUACGACAAUAACUCAGUGUAAAGUGUUUUAGUUACCUGAAAAUAAAUGCAAAGAAAAUAAAUACAUUAUGAUAAAUAAAAA